rnacentral:rRNA from 1 species
AUUCCAGCUCCAAUAGCGUAUAUUUAAGUUGUUGCAGUUAAAAAGCUCGUAGUUGGAUUUCGGGCCCAGGUGACCGGUCCGCCGUUUCGGUGUGCACUGGUUAGCUCGGUCUUUCUGCCGGGGACACGCUCCGUCUUAAUUGCCGGACGUGGAGUCGGCGAUGUUACUUUGAAAAAAUUAGAGUGUUCAAAGCAGGCUUACGCUCUGAAUACUAUAGCAUGGAAUAGCACGAUAGGACUCCGAGCCUAUUUUGUUGGUCUUCGGGACCGGAGUAAUGAUUAAGAGGGACAGUUGGGGGCAUUCGUAUUACGGUGUCAGAGGUGAAAUUCUUGGAUUUCCGUAAGACGAACUUCUGCGAAAGCAUUUGCCAAGGAUGUUUUCAUUG